GACGAACGCUGGCGGCGUGCCUAAUACAUGCAAGUUGAGCGCUGAAGGUUGGUACUUGUACCGACUGGAUGAGCAGCGAACGGGUGAGUAACGCGUGGGGAAUCUACCUUUGAGCGGGGGACAACAUUUGGAAACGAAUGCUAAUACCGCAUAAAAACUUUAAACACAAGUUUUAAGUUUGAAAGAUGCAAUUGCAUCACUCAAAGAUGAUCCCGCGUUGUAUUAGCUAGUUGGUGAGGUAAAGGCUCACCAAGGCGAUGAUACAUAGCCGACCUGAGAGGGUGAUCGGCCACAUUGGGACUGAGACACGGCCCAAACUCCUACGGGAGGCAGCAGUAGGGAAUCUUCGGCAAUGGACGAAAGUCUGACCGAGCAACGCCGCGUGAGUGAAGAAGGUUUUCGGAUCGUAAAAAUCUGUUGGUAGAGAAGAACGUUGGUGAGAGUGGAAAGCUCAUCAAGUGACGGUAACUACCCAGAAAGGGACGGCUAACUACGUG
rnacentral:rRNA from 1 species